CACACACACACACAAAUCAAUAAGUCCACGAGUCCUCUAGGAGCGAGGAUCCCGUUUCUUUAACAAGGGAGCUGGUUGGGUUUUAAUGUGUCUGGAUCAAUGUGAACAUAACCUGGUCCCAGGCAGGUAAAGUUAUGACAGUCAGCACAACAUACAGGCCUGAAUGCUGAACCCCCACAGAGAGGAGUAGCAGCCGUGGACAGAUGUGAGUGGCCUGCACGUCAUCCUCCAUGGAGAGUGCUCCCUCCUCUGGUUUCGGGAAGGUCCAAUCAUCUCUGGAUCCGACAUCAAAGUCAUCUCCUGGCCCGUCUUUGGCUGCUGAUUGGUCCACAGGGGUGGAGAUAAUGCGCUGGUCAAUAGCAUGAUCCAU